rnacentral:rRNA from 1 species
UACGUAGGGAGCAAGCGUUGUCCGGAAUCAUUGGGCGUAAAGCGCGCGUAGGUGGCUCCGUAAGUCCGUUGUGAAAGUCAAAGGCUCAACCUUUGAAAGCCGAUGGAUACUGCGGAGCUAGAGUACGGAAGAGGCGAGUGGAAUUCCUGGUGUAGCGGUGGAAUGCGCAGAUAUCAGGAAGAACACCCGUGGCGAAGGCGGCUCUCUGGGACGGUACUGACGCUGAGACGCGAAAGCGUGGGGAGCGAACAGG